rnacentral:lncRNA from 1 species
GGAUAAAUCAGUGCUGUCUUCUUUACCAGCAAUGACAAAAGAGAUGACAGAGAAUCAGAGGCUCUGCCCUCAUGAACAAGAGGAUGCUGACUGCAGUUCAGAAUCCGUGAAAUUUGACGCACGUUCAAUGACAGCAUCCCUUCCUCACAGUAAGUGGAAAAUGAUAGGGUGACACAGGUAGUUGUUUGGGUGGCUUAAGUCAGUAGAGAUUUGUCUGUCUGUCUGCCUGUCUCCUCACAGUUCUCUGUCCCAGAAGUCUUAAAUCAAAGUAUCCAAAGGGUCACAGGUCAUUUAAAGGCCAUGUCUAUUCCCAGCUUCCAGGGAUUUCUGACAAUUUGUGGUAACCCUGGCAUUUAACUGCAUCACUGCCCCCCUCUACUUCCUGCUUCAAAGAUAUUGAUUGUUUUCCUGUGUGAUCAGAUCAUUUUUUCUCUUGUUAUAAAGAUACAACUAUUAUAUCAGAAUCAACCUCACAUCACAACACAUGAUUUAUAGUCAACUAAUCUGCACUGUCCCUGGUUCCAAUUAAAAUCACCUUUAUAAUUAUCAAGGAUCAGCACUUCUUCGUAUCUUUUUGAGAGAUAAACAUCCUGCUUGCAGCAGAUGAAUGAGAUUAUUAUACAGAGGGACUACAUUAAGCAGCAUCUAAAGUUAAGCAGCAUCUAAGCAUUUUAAGUUGACGGGACAGUCUACUAACCCUUGAUGCCCAUACCUGAGAAAAUGGGUGGAGAGGGAAGAGUUAGACAUUUCAGAUGGAAGAAACAUCAUGCAAAACCUUCAAAGAUCACACAUGAGUUCAAAUCUCAGCCCUUAGAUAAAACUCAGAUGUGACAGUUUACAUGUAUAAUUCCACUUUGGGGAAAUAAGGUACAGGAAGAUCCCUGGGGAUUGCUGGGCAGCCAGUGUAACUGAAUCUGGGAUUCCUGAGUCCAGUGGGAGAACUUGUCACAAAAAUGAAGUGCAAAGGGACAGAGUCGAGGAAACUUGCUCUUUUGGAAGACCUGGGUUUGGUUCCUAGCAUGCACAUGUCAACUCAUAACCAUCUGUGACUCCAGUUCCAGGUGAUCUGACCCCUGACCUCCACAUGUUCUGGUGGAAGAAGAUGUCCAAGCAUUGACCAUGAACUUACACAGGAACCCACAUGCCCACACAAUGUGUAUAUGUAUAUACAUAGCUCCACUGCUAUACAACAUCCCAUUAGAGAAAUACACAUUCUAUGUAAAUGCAUACCAAAGAGAUAAGUACAGUUCUAUCCAUAAGAUAUGUAAAUAAUUUUUCCCACUAAAAUAAUUGUGUGUUACAUUCAAAUCAUCUGAGUUAUACAAACAUAAAAUCAUAUAUAAUUAAGUUCUCUUACUUGUGUGACAAGCACUUCAUCCACUGAAUCUUAUCUCUAGCACCAAUUACAAAGAUUCAAAUCAAAGUUUUUAAUAAUAGUCUGGGAUUUGUUCCAUUUUCUUUUGCUUUGUUUUAGGCACUAAAAAUGGCCCCUCCCUUCAGGAGAAGUUGAAGUCCUUCAAGGCUGCCCUCAUUGCUCUCUACCUCCUUGUGUUUGCAGUACUAAUACCUGUUGUUGGAAUAGUAACAGGUACUGUAUCCGAGACUUUUGGAACUGCAUUCAUCUGCUUAUUGUAAAACCAGAGCUAUAGCAGCUGCUAUACGAAUGCGAAACUCUCCUCAAUUUCAACAAUUGAAUGGAAACAGAUUCUAUAAUGUUAAGUAGAAACCUUUUCUUUUAUUCAAGCAGAAUGUAAGGGAGUAAAAUAAAAAUUUUGACAUAAAGAAAAUGGGCUAGGUUUAUGCCUGUCUCUCCUCCCUCUUUCCUUUCUCCCCAACUCCUCCACUAUCCCUCUAUUUUUCUCAAAAAUCAUCAUAUACAUAUAUAUCAAUUUGUAAACAGUCUCUGGGUUUAUUAUAUGUUGCUUGACUGUAUGUGCAUUUAUUAGGUCUGACCUCUUAAUACUGGAUAACACGUCAGGAAGCCCAUCCCUGUAAAUGAUUGAUUCUUUACCAGAAACCAUUAACAGCCUAUAUGUAGCUCUUGAUCCAGGGGGUAGGGCCUUGUGAGAUUUAUUCCAUCUAUACUGAAAUGGCAAUCAGUAUUAUCAUUUUCAAGUCUUUUCUCAUUGAUCACAUUGUUGGCAUUUCAUUAGUGCAGAUCCCAGGCAUACAUAGAAGACACCAUCUCUCAGUAGAUACCCUGAUCCUCUGACUAUUACAGUCUUUCUGUCCCCCUUGUCUAUGAUGUUCACUGAGUCUUACAUGUACAGCUUGUGUUAUCAGUGUAUAAUUUGGAAUAGGUUUACCACAGUCCUUUGUACUCUAGAUUUUGGCGAGUUUUUGGAUUUCUGCACUAAUCUCAAUCCAGGGGAGCGAGGGGAAUCUUCUCUGACAAGAUGUGAGAGUUAUAUUUACUGGUGGUUAAAGAUAAUAAGUAUUUAGGAUGCAGUUAGAAAAUUACUGUAGUGACAUGGCAGUGAUAUGUUCUCUCGUCUAGGUUUAUAGUACUAGGCAUCAUGAGCAGGAGGGAAUAUUAUCACAAGUG